UGUCACUAGGAAGCUGAGAGCAAGAAUCCACCGUACCAGUGGAGUGCUAGGCAACAUGUCUGUGUGCUUCAUCGAUGUCUUUUCACCUUCUUUCACAGGGGCUGGUCCUAAAUCAACAGAAAUCAAAUUUGUAAGAGCAGGAAUCAGGCUAGGAAGGGUUUGCUUCUGUUAGUUUUAUAUCAGUGUCCAAAGAUGCACUGAUGUUAUCUCUGGCACACUAAAUUGUGGCCAAAGUGAGCAGUUGCACAGGAUAAUGGUGGAGGGAUACACCAGAUGUAACCACACAUAGGUGGGCUAGAGAGACAAGAUCAGUAGUCAAGUGCCUUCAACCAGUUCAGAGGAGUAGGGUUUGUGAUGUAAAGCCUCACAUCCCUCCCAGGUGUGUGGUACAGUCUAAAAACCUCACUGCCCUGCAAGUGCACUCAAUCCGUUUCCUCCAGGCCAGAUGUGCAGGGUAGCCUCCCACUGCUGUAACUUAAUGUGUUUUGGUUCCUUUUGCUUUUGGUAAAUCUCAAGCUUACCACAAUGCCAGGCUCCCGCUGCCUCCUAGGAGCAGCUCAGUGCGCUGUGUAGCGAAAGCUGGGUAUUGGUUAAAGCUUUCUUGGUGAAAAGAUUUUCCUGGAGCACCUAUGAUUAUUUCAUCUCCUCCCUGGCCUUGCUUCCUGGAAAGCCCAGGGUCCAAGCCUUUCAGACAGUCUCCAGCCUUGUUUUCCCCAGCCAGUCUUCAUUCCCUGGCUCCAGCCCUACUUCAUGGCCCAAUCUUGGCUCUGACUCACAAACCAGCCCUUGCUCCCUCCGUACCCUGCCCUAGUCCACUCUCUUCCCUCUGGGGUCUGCAUGAGGGCAAACUAUACAUAGGACUAUACAAGGUUUGCUGAAGCAGGGCGCCUCUGUCAGAUCUUAGCAGCUCUGCCAGCUGUCAAAAGAGCCUGCAUGAGAGUAAUGGAGCCUCCCUCUCUUCCUGGCUGACGACGCCCCCGCCUCUCCCCCCGGUUCAAUACUCCCACAUAGGCCCCUCCAACUCCUAGCAGUUGCAGAAUGCAGGUAAGCUCUUAAAAAACAUUUUUUAAAAAUCCAACCACUUUAGGGUGGGAUUUUCAAAAGGCCAACACUGAGCGCUUUUGGAGAGUGCCACGCUCAAUCGAAGAGGAAGAUAAAAUUCCAUAAUGACAAAAGAUGCAUUAAAAAUGUUUCAUGCCAUUUCUGUGAAAAUUACCCCAUGCUUGAAUGUGUAGAGAGACCCACACAAAAGGGUGAAAUUGAGAGUAAUGUUCCUUAUGCUGAAAUGAAGGUGGCCCAACUGAACACCAUAUGAAAAUGUUGCUUGCUUGUUUCAAAAUUCUUAGGUUACAAGGAGAACUCUCAGAUAAGUCACUUUCUCCAGAAGAAGUCUGGAAGCAACCUUUGCUAUGGAAUAGUUACUCUAACCCUGCAAUAACAGCAUGGUUUGCAAUGGCUGGAGAGAGCUCUUUGAACCUCACCAGGUCAUUCCUGCAAUGGCAGCAUCUUGUCAGUAGAUGGAGCCAUUUCAGCUCUAAAGUUAGACUAGAAUUCUGAUUGGGAAAGUAGCUGCCCUUGGAUACCGCAGCUGCAAGAUCUCAAGCCCCAGGGUGAUACAAGUAGUUCUGACUUUGCUAUAUUUCAUAGUAAGGAAAUGCAGCGGGGACCACACAGUAGCACUAUGCCAACACUCAGGAGAAAAAGAAUUCUCUUGCUUUCCAGAAAUAUUCACUGACAACAAGCACGAAAAGUUUCAGUCCAAAAGACAGGAGUUUGGGUAGGUCUUCAUGUCAAGGGUCUUAUAAUGCAAGUGCCUCCUCAGUCAGGACUGUGGCAUCAAUCAUUACCGUGCUACACUGCACCCAAUCCUGCAGCCUUCACUCAUGCAAGUAGUCUCAGUUGGGCCGAAUUCUCCUAUUGCUUACACUAGUAUAUCUCCAGUGAAGCCAAUGGAGUUAUACUGGUAUAAAGCCAGUGAGAGGAACAAGAGAAUCAGGCCCAUUAAUUGUAAACCUUCCUAACAGUUUCCCCAUGUGUGAAAGGGGGAUGAUGAUAUCACUUUGAGACCUACUGGUGAAAAGCACUGUAUAAAAACAGCAUAUUUUUAUUUCUGCAGUGCUCACAAGAUCCCACAGGUUUCCAUCCUCCUUUGAAGCUCUCAGCAGGAGUUUCUCAUGUACACUUCUGCUACACUAGCCAACACUAGUGGAGUGGAAGUAGAGACACUCAAGGACAGCUGGAGCCAACUCCUCUCUCUCACCACUCAGGAAGGAAAGAUAACAUGGAGCUCAGACUUCAAGGAGGAGGGACUGGAAAUGAUGGUUGGCAGCUUCAAGGGUAGUAUGUUCCCACAGUGUAACUGCUUGGUACAUGGCACAGAGAAGAGACCUGAAAGUUCCACAUGACCCUUCAAAGAGUCCUGAUAAGAGAUGGAGGAUGCAAGAAAUCAGACCUAUAACUCUGGCAGAGGGAGAGCCCCUUCCUUCCACAUGCACCCCCACCCCCAGCCUUGUUGCAUGCCUAUGGAUAUCUAAAGAGAUGAUGUACAUCAGGAUAUUUGGGGAACUAUCUGAAAAUUAAGUCUUUUCCGUGGCAGGACUUGGGCAUCACUGAUCUCCUCCACUGCUGUUGGGAGAGAUUCUGUCACUUCUGCCAUGCUGCCAAUGUGACAUGUUGUGGAAGAGACAGGGGGUUGAGUGUGCCAGUGUGUUGGCACAGAUUUGAGAAUGGCGCCUCUCUUCCUAUUCUGAGUUAAACAUCCAAAAAGGUCAGAAUCACAGGAGGAAGCAAUUCCAAUGCCCGGACACUGAAGCUUUAAAAGAUACAAACAGGAAAUGAGGUGCUCAUUCUUUUUUUUAAUACCAAGGAUUAAUUAACCAUCAGAGCUAUGUAGCAAGAGAAGUAGUGGAUUCUCCAUCAUUUGAAAUCUUUAAUCAGGAUGGAGUCUCUUUCUAAGAGAUAUGCUUUUGUUCAAUUGCGAGUUAUUGUUGUUGAUACAGGGAUCACUUGGUAAAAUUCUAUGGACUGGUAGAAAGUCAGACUAGAUGCUCACAAUGAUUGUUUUUGAGCUUAAAAAUCUAUGAAUCCUAGUGGAUGAGCAAAUUACACCAAGAAGUCAGAUGGUUUAGCAGUUGAUAAAGAAUUACUGACCAGUAAAUGGGAUGGGGAAGGAGAAAUUAAGGAGCAUUUGGCCAUGUAUAGAAUUGACAGCAGAUUCUGCAAGUAGAAGUUAUAUUGCCAGCUACAGCACAUGAAAUCACACAUUCUAAAAAAAGUUUCACUUCUCUGUGAGAUGUGCUGUCCCUGCUGCGGCAGCAGUGAAUAAUGCCAGAGGCUGGGCUCCGGAGAGAACACAUUCCUCAGGAAAAGUUACCACUGCCAUGUAAACAGAGAAUUAGCUAUGUUUGCCAGACUGACACAGCAGAAUGCAGCCUGGUGGUAGCCUGUAGUGUAACAGAAAGAAAGCAGUUAAUAUUCAGUUAAAAAGAUUUAAUGGAGGUGACAGGAGCUUUAUGGAGCCUAAAAGCUUCCCCAGCAAACCAGAAAUGUGACUCAUCUGGAGACCAGGGUUAUAGCAACCCCACACCUUAGCUGGCAAUUACCAGAGUGAGAAUUUUAUUCACUGUGGAUUCAUGGAUGUUUACCAGGGGCAGGAUGGCCAAACCUACAAUCAAUACAGGUAAGGUGCAGAUGUAGGCAGUCAUUUAACAGUCAAAUGUAAAGUCUGAAAUCACAGUUCAGAAGUCAGCGUGCAUAGUACUGAAAAUUCCUGGGACGUGCCCUCCUAGCAUGAGGGCUGUGCGGUGACAGGCAUGUGCACACAGUAUGGCUGAAUUCCUAUGAUGCACAUUUCUAAGGUGAUGGGUGCACACGCAGUGCAACUGAAUUCCUACAGAAGCAUACCUCUAGGUGAUGGGUGCGCAUACAGUAUGGAUGAAUUCUUAAGUUUAUUUUUUAUAUACACACACGUACGUGUAAUGGAUUCACACAGUACAGAAACUCCAUGGACAAAUGCUCCAAACAAGAUGACAGCACAUACUAUAGAUGAAUUCCUAGAACAACUUGCUUCAAGAUCACAUGGAGAACAUAGCACAGAUGAACUUCUAAAAGAAACAUUCCAAAGGUGACAGAACAACAAGGUCCAGGUGAAUUCCCAGGGCUAAUGCUCCAAGCCUGACAGAAGUUCACAGUACAGUUAAUUGUUCCUAAUGUUCCAAGAGCUCAGAGUACUGGCAGAUCUGCUGAGCACACACAGAACAUGAACAUGUGCCAGGGGCUGUGACGAGAGCCGAUAAACAGAAAAACUCCCCAGGACAUAUGCUUUUAUCCAAUGAGCUCUAGGAUAUUGGUAGAGCACACAAUGGGAGUACAAAGUAUCAACAGAUGCUGGAGAGAGUUUGAUGGGAGCACGUAGUACGGUUAAAGUCCUUAGGGCACAUACAGCACUGACAGGCCCCUUGGAGCACAUACUGGAAUGGGAGUGCCCAUUACUGAUAAGCUGUGCAGCAUGCGCACUGCGCUGAUCAACUAUCUAGGUUGUGCAUUAGUAGUUUUUGGCUGCACAUGCCCUCCAGUCCGCUAUACCUUCACAAGUACACCUGGCUGGGGGUGGGGGCCGCAGAAGAGAGAGAACACAGAAACUCACAUAGUCAACCCACAAAAAAACUAAGGUAAUGACCCAAUUCCACAGCGCAAAGCCUUAGCAUUUAACUGUGUUGUCCCUUUGAAUCAACAAGGCUACUCAGGUGUCUUAAGUGAAAGAUGUGCAUAAGUGUUUGUAGGACUGGGGCCUAAGCAUGAACAGCAGCAUUUGAAAACCUCAUACACAAACCGGUAAAUCUGUCUGGUGUGUUGUGUAUCUUUCUCAGAUUAAGGGAUCCAGCAGGAAUUAGAAAUCAAGUUCCACUUUACCAAAGCUCCCAUUUUCUUCCAGCUCAGAGGAUCUUUCACUCAUCUGCCCUUGCCCCUGAAGCAGUAAUUAGGGGUUCCCUGGAUUUAAGGCUUAGACGUAUUUCCAGAUAAUUCUGAGGUCUGAUUGUUUCCAAAAUUGGAGUGGAGCCAACUGCAGCAGCUGCAAUCUCAGGCCGGAGAACAGGAAACUGCUUGAUUAAUACACAGCCUCGCAUGGGCCUCUGACCUGCCAUGACUUAGCAAAAAAAGCCCCUGGACUGAAACUUGACACAGCAAUCUGGAGAGGCAAACAAACACUACAGUGACUCAGCAAAAUGAGGAGCCAAGCACAUGAUUUGAGGCCCUUGAAAGGUUAGUCAGCAUAAUCCAGACAACUUGUCUCCUGUGCUGCGUGCAUUUUCGGAGUUUGCUGUUCUGUGGUCGGAGUUCACAAAACAGAUGGAUUUUCUGACUGAUGCACAGCUCCCAAGUUACCAGCAGUUCAGGGGGAAGACCAGCUAAAUAAAAUACUAUUUUGUUCACCUUCACAAGUGGCAGAAGAUCGUGAAAAGAGGCAAAUCAGAAAUUUCCUCCCCACCAAAAGAGCACCACAUAAAGUCUAAACAAGUUUUUAGAAGAAACAUUUAAAAACAAAUCUGUCACCACCUGCCUUCCCUACCCUCUUGACCAGGGGUUCUCAACCUUUUUCUUUCUGAGUCACCCCCAUCCCAACAUCCUAUUAAAACUCUAUGGUCCACCUGUGUCACAACAGCUGUAAGUCUGCAUAUAAAAGCCAGGUCCAGUGUUAAGGGGUAGCAAGCAGGGCACUUGCCCCAUGCCACAGGCACCCCCCAUGAAGCUACACUACUUAGGGCAGAAACCCACCACUUGGGGCUGAAGCCGAAGCCUAAGCCCCAGUGAGUCUAAUGCUGGUAGGGUGACCAGAUGCCCCGAUUUUAUAGGGACAGUCCUGACUUUGGGGUCUUUUUCUUUUAUAGGUCCUAUUACCUCCCACCCCAUCUCGAUUUUUCACAUUUGCUGUCUGGUCACCCUAAAUUCUGCCCCUGCUUGAUGGACCUCCUGAAAUCUGCUCGCAGCCCCCAAGGGGGCCCCAGACCUUCUAUUCCUGGCUCUAUUACUGCCCUGCUGGGUGACUUGACAAAUCACUUCAUUGCUCCCCGUGCCUCAGUUUCCCCAUCUGAGAAAUGAGAAUGAUACCACCCUUGUUUGUAAAGCACUUUGAGAUUCAUGGUAGAGAAGCACACGGGAUUAUUAUUACUGGGUUCAGUGCUGUAUAAAUGCAUAGUAAAUGCAGUCUGUGCCCUUGAGGCAAAGGAAGUCUUAUUUUAGACAUGGGAACUGAGGCACAACAAGAUUAAGUGACUUGCCUAAGGCCACUGAGGAAGUGUGUGGUAGAGGCCAGAAAUUUUAUUUUACUUGUGUAUUAAAAAUAUUUGCCCAUGGGCAAGCAGACAGGAGUCAUUUUGCCAGGCUGAGUUCAUAUCUGUAAAGUGCUUUGUUGAUUAAAUACUAAUAACUAAUUAAUAUUACUACAGACUAGAAAGGCAGAAAGCCAUCAAGAACAUACUAUAUUAUUCAGUGAUCAGCCAGAGGAAGAUCUCAGAGAUCUUUGAAUUUGCCCCAGCUUCCCCCAAAAGACUUACUAGAGUGUCUCACUGUUAAACAGAGUUUAAGGCCUAAAAAUUCCAGGGACAGCAGCGCUUAGAUACUGCACUUAUUGGUGCUACAGAUAAAUCUAAGAUACAGUUGCCUCCAUUCUCUGGAUGGCAAAACUCUCUCACCAUGUUCUCCAGCAUCACACAAUGAUCACUGUCUACUAUACUCUCAACAACUCCCACACUAGCAUCAACUUCCUGGACACCACAAAUCAGCUUCAACAAUGGAACCCUACAGACAACCAUAUAUUAGAAACCCACAGAUCACCACACCUACCUUUAUGGAUCCCAUAACCACCCCCAACACACCAAGAAAUCAGUUAUCUACAGCCAGACACUUACAUACCAUAGAACAGGCUUUGAGGAGAAAGUCCAGGAUAUAUACCUUAAUAAAAACUACCUUCAAACAAGGACAUUCUGCCAGAGAAGUAGAUUGCAUCAUAGAAUGGGCCACCCAAUUACCCUGAGAGAACCUGCUUCAAUACAGAAAUAAAAUCCCCUGUGACCAAACACCCUUGGUUGUCAGAUACUACCCUACACUGGAACCCACACAGGGUAUCAAACAACUACAACCCAUACUCGAUGGGGACCCCAUUCUGAAACGACAGCCCCAUAACCCCCACUUCUAGCCUUCAAACACCCCUCCAACCUUUUGAAGCUCAUAAUCAGAAGCAAGCUCCCCACAAACCAAGACACACCAACUCAAACCAGCACCAGAACAAUACAUGCAAUACCUGCCACUGCUACAAUGACCAACACCCACCACAACACACCUUUCAAGAUCCAUGGAUUCUACACAUGCCUAUCACAACAUGUGGUGUACCUCAGCCAGUGCAUCAAAUGCCCCAGGAACAAAUGUGGGUGAUGAAAAUUACUGAACUUUCAAAUGAACUCAUGCAGAAAAAUGAUAAGACAAAACCAUCCUAUCACUUGUGGGUAAACACUUUCCACAAAACCAUCUCUAUAUCUCACCAGCAGUCCUCAUCCUCGAAGGAAACCUGCACAACACUUUCAAAAGAUGAGCCCGGGAGUGUAAAUUUAUAACUCUGCUAGACACUAAAAAUCAUGGACUGAACAAACAGUGGAUUUAUAGCUUAUUACAAUAAUCUGUAAUCUACUAACCCCCCUUUUUGUCCUAUGACUGCAGAGGUAUUAACGGGCCACUAUCUUAAAUGGUCCCUUAUGACGUGUGCUAACUACGUAUGCUAAACUAUCUGUUCUGCCUUGCACUUUGCUGUGAUGCUGGGAGUACCUUUCCUGCCCCAAAGAAGAGCUCUGUGUGGCUCAAAAGUGUGUCUCUCUCACCAUCAGAAAUUGGCCCAAAAAAAGAUAGUACCUCACCCAUCUUGUCUCUCUAAAUUGAAGGGAGUUCAGAGAAAUGUACCAAUGCUAAUUGGGGACUGGAGGGAGUGACUCAGGUGGAAAGAAUAAUAGACAUAAAUAUAACUAGUUCAGCUGAGCAAUGACUAAGGGGAGGGCAUGACAAUAGCUUAUAAUUACUUGAUGGUUGUUAAUUCCAAUUAUUUAAAUUCUUAUUUGGGGUGGUGGAUAGACUACAAACAAUAGGAGAAGAUUAAGAAAAGGAAAAUUGAGACCAAUAGGGGGAAAAAAAUCCUGGGCAUUGAGUGUGUCAGUGAGGCUGUGGAAUAGUUUCCAAAGGAAAACCCUCUUGCUUGGGACUUGUAAAGCUAGUCUAGAUCAAGCACUAGAAAAUGCUCUGUAGGGAACGGCCCUGCACUAGCAAGGGAUGGACUGACUAAUCUAACAAGGGGUUCCAUUAUGAUACUACUGGAAUAGCAAGAGUGCAGUGUAAGCUGUGAAUAGUUGACUCCUCUCCCUGGACCCUCAUCAGUGCAAGACCCAGCACAGUUCUAUACCAGUUGGAGCUGAGGCAGAGGUCUUGGAAAGACAGCGCUACCAGGGUAUGUGUGCUCACAAACGUGAAGUAAAGGUGACAGGUGGUUCUAGAAGCAAAAGCAGUCCUUGGAAUCGGAGCCUCAAGAAUGUGAGAGCUGGAGCUGCUACUCUUAGAAGGCCCUGGCUUUAUUUACUUGGACUGGGAUUGUCACAGGGGCCUAAGGGAUGUUCAAAUCCUGUUGAAUUGAGAUAGCACUUUACUCCCCUUGUUCCCUUAUACAUAAAGGCUGGGAGUUUCAGAGUGCCUCUCUUAAAGUCUAGCUCAGGUUCUCAA